rnacentral:rRNA from 1 species
GAUGAACGCUGGCGGCGUGCCUAAUACAUGCAAGUCGAGCGAACAGACGAGGAGCUUGCUCCUCUGACGUUAGCGGCGGACGGGUGAGUAACACGUGGAUAACCUACCUAUAAGACUGGGAUAACUUCGGGAAACCGGAGCUAAUACCGGAUAAUAUAUCGAACCGCAUGGUUCAAUAGUGAAAGAUGGCUUUGCUGUCACUUAUAGAUGGAUCCGCGCCGCAUUAGCUAGUUGGUAAGGUAACGGCUUACCAAGGCAACGAUGCGUAGCCGACCUAAGAGGGUGAUCCGCCACACUUGAACUGAGACACGGUCCAAACUCCUACGGGAGGCAGCAGUAGGGAAUUUUCCGGAAUGGGCGGAAGCCUGACGGAGCAACGCCGCGUGAGUGAUGAAGGGUUUCGGAUCGGAAAACUCUGUUAAUAAGGAAGAAAAAAUGUGUAAGUAACUAGGCACGUCUUGACGGUACCUAAUCAGAAAGCCACGGCUAACUACGUG